GCAAAUGGAUCCAAAAGUCUCGAUAAUAAUCUUAAUGACAUAAAGACUGACUUUUGGGCUGAUAUCAUGCUUUAACCCAUGGAAUUAAUAGUAAGAUAAUAGAGAGAGUAAGAAGAAUAGACCUUAAAGAAAGCAUUCUUCAAUUAGUAAGAAAAACACCAAUUUGUCUACAACAACGUCAAAUUUCGGCAACUCGUUCUUGAUCUAGGAAAUGGACAAUAACAAGAAACAUAGACCGAAACUAAAUUUUGGCAGCAGAAAAUGGGACGAUGACUCGACUGCACCUCAAAUCUCGAUGAUUAGAUUACUUUGAAUAUUUGAGCAACCAAACAGAUACAAGGCUUCAAAUCCAAAAUCUAGUUGAGAAUAUAGCAGCAAUUCAAACCCGGAAUCGCAAACUCAAAUCCCACUUGCAAUUCUCUCUCAACUCGAACUCAAGACAGCUAUCAAAUCAAACGAAUCCCCGUAAUUUAGAAAUCAGAAUCCAAAAAUUAAGGAUGAAGAAUCAGCGAUCUUUAAGAAGCUCAGAUUUUAAUAUUGAGUAAACUUCCAAAAAAAACUUGGAUUUUAGAUCACUCAUAUUGUUGGAAUAAGUGAUCGUUAGUUUUAGGAUAGGAGAAUUGUUGUGUUCAUUUGGUUCUUGAAAUGAAAUCUUUUUAUAUAUGCGAAAACCAACGUAUAAAGAGGGGAUUUUGAAAUGGCCCAAAUCUGGAGAUUUUGUGAUGGAGAGUUUUUCUUGUUUUGUUCUCGGAGGUGCAGUUGUAUCCCUCCUAUUUUUGUGAUUAGAUUUACUUUUGUAGGGAAUGAGAAUUAGGUUAGGUUAAA
rnacentral:lncRNA from 1 species